rnacentral:rRNA from 1 species
GAAACCUGCCCCGAAGACCGGGAUAGCCCGGGGAAACCCGGAUUAAUACCGGAUACCCUCGCGGAGUCGCAUGGCUCUACGGAGGAAAUGGUCCGCCGUUUCGGGAUGGUCUCGCGGCCUAUCAGCUAGUUGGUGAGGUAACGGCUCACCAAGGCAGCGACGGGUAGCUGGUCUGAGAGGACGAUCAGCCACACUGGGACUGAGACACGGCCCAGACUCCUACGGGAGGCAGCAGCAGGGAAUAUUGCACAAUGGGCGAAAGCCUGAUGCAGCGACGCCGCGUGCGGGAUGAAGGCCUUCGGGUUGUAAACCGCUUUCAGGAGGGACGAAAAUGACGGUACCUCCAGAAGAAGGCCCGGCCAACUACGUGCCAGCAGCCGCGGUAACACGUAGGGGCCGAACGUUGUCCGGAUUUAUUGGGCGUAAAGGGCUCGUANGCGGUUUGACAAGUCGGUCGUGAAAACCCGGGGCUCAACCCCGGGACGCCGGUCGAAAACUGUCAUGACUAGGGUCCGGUAGAGGUGAGUGGAAUUCUCGGUGUAGCGGUGAAAUGCGCAGAU